UGUAUUAUAUCAGGCAGUCACAGAAGUGCUAUUGUAUCAUUCAGAAUUUGGUCUUGUGGCGUCAGCCUACUGGGAAGUUCAUAAGGACUAGAAUCUAACAUUGUAAUAUUCUUCCUUCAGAUUCAAGCUAUGGAACCAAGUACUACAAUUGAAGAACGCAUCAAAGACCUCAAGACAGAGAUAUGUACAAGUUACAUGCAACAGAAAACCAUUCCCUAAGCAUUAAGCUGACCCAGAAGAACCUGACUCAUUUGUUCCCAUCAGUUCACUGGCAUGUUAAAAUAUAAUUACUUGGUGAAUAAAUGACAAUUUCACGUGCAGUCA